rnacentral:rRNA from 1 species
GAUGAACGCUGGCGGCGUGCCUAAUACAUGCCAGUCGAGCGAACGGACGAGAAGCUUGCUUCUCUGAUGUUAGCGGCGGACGGGUGAGUAACACGUGGAUAACCUACCUAUAAGACUGGGAUAACUUCGGGAAACCGGAGCUAAUACCGGAUAAUAUUUUGAACCGCAUGGUUCAAAAGUGAAAGACGGUCUUGCUGUCACUUAUAGAUGGAUCCGCGCUGCAUUAGCUAGUUGGUAAGGUAACGGCUUACCAAGGCAACGAUGCAUAGCCGACCUGAGAGGGUGAUCGGCCACACUGGAACUGAGACACGGUCCAGACUCCUACGGGAGGCAGCAGUAGGGAAUCUUCCGCAAUGGGCGAAAGCCUGACGGAGCAACGCUGCGUGAGUGAUGAAGGUCUUCGGAUCGUAAAACUCUGUUAUUAGGGAAGAACAUAUGUGUAAGUAACUGUGCACAUCUUGACGGUACCUAAUCAGAAAGCCACGGCUAACUACGUG